GAUGAACGCUGGCGGCGUGCCUAAUACAUGCCAGUCGAGCGAACAGAUGAGGAGCUUGCUCCUCUGACGUUAGCGGCGGACGGGUGAGUAACACGUGGAUAACUUACCUAUAAGACUGGGAUAACUUCGGGAAACCGGAGCUAAUACCGGAUAAUAUAUUGAACCGCAUGGUUCAAUAGUGAAAGACGGUUUUGCUGUCACUUAUAGAUGGAUCCGCGCCGCAUUAGCUAGUUGGUAAGGUAACGGCUUACCAAGGCAACGAUGCGUAGCCGACCUGAGAGGGUGAUCGGCCACACUGGAACUGAGACACGGUCCAGACUCCUACGGGAGGCAGCAGUAGGGAAUCUUCCGCAAUGGGCGAAAGCCUGACGGAGCAACGCCGCGUGAGUGAUGAAGGUCUUCGGAUCGUAAAACUCUGUUAUUAGGGAAGAACAAAUGUGUAAGUAACUAUGCACGUCUUGACGGUACCUAAUCAGAAAGCCACGGCUAACUACGUG
rnacentral:rRNA from 1 species